rnacentral:misc_RNA from 1 species
GAUGAAGAACGUAGCGAAAUGCGAUAAGUAAUGUGAAUUGCAGAAUUCAGUGAAUCAUCGAGUUUUUGAACGCAUAUUGCGCCCUCUGGUAUUCCGGGGGGCAUGCCUGUUCGAGCGUCAUUAAAUAACCCUCAAGCAUAGCUUGGUGUUGGGCUUUUUUACGUCCUUGACUGGGAUGGGCCUAAAAAUUAGUGGCGAUGGCUUUUUUACUUUCAAGCGUAGUAAAUCUCGUCUUGCUAUAGAGGAAAAAGAUUUUUUUUCUGCCAAAAAUUUUAACAUUUAAAGUUGACCUCGGAUCAGGUAGGAUUACCCGCUGAACUUAAGCAUAUCAAUAAGCGGAGGA